AUGCAAGUCGGAMGGUAGCACAGAGAGCUUGCUCUCGGGUGACGAGUGGCGGACGGGUGAGUAAUGUCUGGGGAUCUGCCCGAUAGAGGGGGAUAACCACUGGAAACGGUGGCUAAUACCGCAUAACGUCGCAAGACCAAAGAGGGGGACCUUCGGGCCUCUCACUAUCGGAUGAACCCAGAUGGGAUUAGCUAGUAGGCGGGGUAAUGGCCCACCUAGGCGACGAUCCCUAGCUGGUCUGAGAGGAUGACCAGCCACACUGGAACUGAGACACGGUCCAGACUCCUACGGGAGGCAGCAGUGGGGAAUAUUGCACAAUGGGCGCAAGCCUGAUGCAGCC
rnacentral:rRNA from 1 species